ACGUAGGGGGCGAGCGUUGUCCGGAUUUAUUGGGCGUAAAGAGCUCGUAGGCGGUUGGGUAAGUCGGGUGUGAAAACUCAGGGCUCAACUCUGAGACGCCACUCGAUACUGCCCUGACUCGAGUCCGGUAGGGGAGCGUGGAAUUCCCGGUGUAGCGGUGAAAUGCGCAGAUAUUGGGAGGAACACCAGUGGCGAAGGCGGCGCUCUGGGCCGAUACUGACGCUGAGGAGCGAAAGCGUGGGGAGCGAACAGGA
rnacentral:rRNA from 1 species